UAAAAAACAACAACCAACAACACAAGAAAAAAGACUUGCUUUGUGUUGAGUCUGAUCUCAGCAAUAUUUCUUGUGGAUACCAACUGGGGCCAGAAAACUACUGCUGCUGAUGACUGUACCCUUUUCCAAGCUAAACCUGUAACAUUUGUGCCUAAAUUAUCAAAUUCUACCAAAGAAAACAACGAAAUCCUUAACAAAGAUCCCUUAACGAACCUCAACAAAAAAGUUGUUGAUCUCAAGUUUGUGGAAGCUUCUGGAAGUGACAAGAACAAUAUUACCACUACCACCACCAACACGACUACGACUGAGGAUGAUGAUGAUGAUGAUGAUGACUAUGAUGAAGAUUUUGCCAGUGAAGACACCAACAGAAGCAGAUUUGAAGGAAAAGUCAAAAUAACUGGUGGCAGUAUUGUUGAAGAAAUCGAAGAAGAACUGGAUCUGUCUCAAGAAUUGUCCAAAAGCGAAAACAGCGAACUUGCUGACCUCACGACAGACAAAACACUUUCUCAACCCGACACACCUUUCGAUUACAUGGAAGAUGUUCUCUCUUCCUAGUAUCUUCUUUUUCUUCUUUAACAUUUAGCUUCUUUCCCUCAUUUCAAUUCAGUCUUUAUUUUCUAAACAUUUAAAAUCCUUUUUUCCCCCCUCAACCGUACACUGCAUGUGUACACACAUAUUUAUAUAUGCACACACACACACACACACACACAUACACACAAAUCUUCAAAUUUUAGAACAAGGCACCAUUCUAUCACUUUUAUUGCUUCGAGCUUUCACUGUUUCUCAAUGAGAGAUGUGGCUACGUAAACAUUUUAACAUACUGCUGCCUGCCUUUUUGUAU